GAUGAAGAACGUAGCGAAAUGCGAUAAGUAGUGUGAAUUGCAGAAUUCAGUGAAUCAUCGAAUCUUUGAACGCACAUUGCGCCCCAUGGUAUUCCGUGGGGCAUGCCUGUUCGAGCGUCAUUUACCCCCUCAAGCUCCGCUUGGUGUUGGGUGUCUGUCCCGCUUCGCGCGCGGACUCGCCCCAAAGGUAUUGGCAGCGGUCGUGCCAGCUUCUCGCGCAGCACAUUGCGCUUCUCGAGGCACCGGUGGGCCCGCGUCCAUCAAGCUCACCCCCCCAGUUUGACCUCGGAUCAGGUAGGGAUACCCGCUGAACUUAAGCAUAUCAAUAAGCGGAGGA
rnacentral:misc_RNA from 1 species